GACAUGGUAAGGCUAGCUUGUAACCCUGGGGGGUCUUCGAGGUGAUGAAACGUUGUCCCAAUCAAAUGAGCUUGGUUUGUUGAAGCAACUUACCUAGCCUUCCCGAUCCAAGCCUGACGUGAGUAAGGCAUUGCUUGAGACUGAUUUCACAGAGCAUAAAAAAAAAAAGCUCCUUCUUCAGGCAGUGGAUGGAUUGCGAGCUGGUGAUACGCAGGUCCAACGCGUAUUCAUGGGUUGAGAUUCUAGGCUUCUAG
rnacentral:SRP_RNA from 1 species